GUCUGGACAGCUCAGUUGGUUAGAGCAUGGUGCUGAUAACGCCAAGGUUGCAGGUUCGAUCCCCGUAUUCAUAUU